CCUACGGGACGCAGCAGUGAGGAAUAUUGGUCAAUGGCCGAGAGGCUGAACCAGCCAAGUCGCGUGAGGGAAGACGGCCCUACGGGUUGUAAACCUCUUUUGUCGGGGAGCAAAGCGAGUCACGUGUGACUCAUUGAGAGUACCCGAAGAAAAAGCAGCGGCUAACUCCGUGCCAGCAGCCGCGGUAAUACGGAGGAUGCGAGCGUUAUCCGGAUUUAUUGGGUUUAAAGGGUGCGUAGGCGGACUGUCAAGUCAGCGGUAAAAUACGGGGGCUCAACCUCCGCCCGCCGUUGAAACUGACGGUC
rnacentral:rRNA from 1 species